rnacentral:tRNA from 1 species
GAGGGUAUAGCUCAGUGGUACAGUACCUGCUUAGCAUGCAAAAGGUCCUGGGUUCAAUCCCCAGUACUUCCU